CAAAGCAAGAAAAAAGGAAGAAAAGAAAGAACAAAAACCCUAGGGUGAAAAUUCAAGAGAAAAUUGGUGGAUUUCAAGUAAUCAAGCAAUCAAAGGUAAAAUUUCUUGAUUUUGACUUGUGAUCUACCUUUCCCAUGCAUUCUUUUGCAUUUUUCAUGGUUGAAUCACAUGAUUUGAUGAUGGGUAUCUUGCUGACUGAACACUUAGAGAGAGGUUUUGAUGCUUGAUUUGGUUAGAUUUCAAUGUAUUUUAGUGUUUAUAGUUGAUUUAUCAUGUUUGGAAGGAAAACAAGAAAACUCACAUGUUCUUCAUGGAUUCUUCAUUGGCCGAAUUUCAUAAAGACAAUAUUGAAGAUGAAUCUUGUGAUGUCUUAUGUUAUUUAGUUAGAAUUUAAUGAAUUGUGGUGGUGGAAACUGAAAAUGGUAAUGUUUAGCAUGAAAUACUAUAUACCCCUCAAGAACCUCCAUUGGCCGAAUCUUCCUUGUAGAGUAUUGAUGAUGAUUUUGAUUUUAUUUCAAGUGAUUUGGUUAGGAAUUAGUGAUUUAUGGUGUGAGAAUCAAGCUUGAAAAAUUAUAGUGUUGAUGCACCUACCAUAGCAGAAUUUUCCAAGAAAAAAUGUGAUGAUGAUUUUACCAUAUUUCAAGUUAUUUAACUUGUGUUUGAUGGUUUGGAGAAUUGGAAGAAAAAUGGAGUUAAUUAGAGUUAAAUUGGACAUAUUGGACAAUUAAUUGGGUGAUAGAUUGAAUCAGGCGAAUACCGUUUUAUUUAGGUACAUAAUUGAAUUUAUAUGGCACACCGUAUUUAGAUAGUUACCCGAGUAUUUCACAUCCCAUUUCAUGCAUUAGUAUAGAGCCUGAAUUGGUUUUAUAACAAUUUAGCACAAAUGUAGUAAAUGGCUGAUUGUGCAUUAUGUCUAGGUGGUGAGCAUUUUGGCAAAAGUAAAGAGAUAGUACCCGAGGAUCAAGAAUCAGAGUACUCGGAAUGCGACUCCCGAAAUAGUGAGUAACCUUAUCAUCAUCUUAAUUAUCUAAAGUAUGUUUUAUUCGAUUUUGUGAAUUUUAUGAAAAAUGAAUUAAAUGAUUAAUUUUUCAAUUUUAUAAACAAAAUGUGAUUUAAUGAAAUGAUUUCAUAAAAUUGUUUUUAAAUUGAAUGAAGUUUUGAAAAUAGAGUAAUUGGAGAUUGUUUUUGUGUGUUGCAAAUUCAUGAUUCUAAUUGAUUGGCUUAUGGCAAUAUUGGCAUGAAUGGUUGAUUUGAUAAAUGUGUUGGAAAUGUAUAACUUGUUGAUUUGCCUUGAAAGGCUGUAAACUAAGAUAAAAUAAUUGCCAUGUCAUGCUGUUGAAUUUUAUUGAAUUAGUGGGUCAUUGAUUAGUCGCUGCAGUGGACGGGUUUUGUGGACCAGCCUAUUAGAGUAACCAUAUUAUAUUCAUACCUCAGUAUGACAGGCGCGGAUGGAAAACUCCUGAGGUUAACACUUUAGAGUUCACUUCACGCUAAACCACCACGUGAGGGUGAACUCAGCCAACGCCAAGGAACGGCUAAGUUUUCAAAAUAAAAACAUGAUUUAUGCGUACAUAACUUUCUAAUAGCCUUGGCAGACUCGGUUGGGAUAGCCCUCUGCCAAGGUAUCCCUGAUAACUGAGUAUAAGAAUGAUUUUGGCACGAGCCAAAGCUUUUAAGAAAUUCAUGAGCCAUGUUGAUUACUCGAUUUAUAUGAAUUGAUUUUGUUUGGUUAUUUGUAUUACAGUAUAUAUGAAUUUAUUUAGCUUUUACGCUACAAAACUUAUUUACUGGUAACUCUAUAAAUAUUGUUUUAUAAGAAAAUAGAAUAUUUUAUUGAAUACUUUUAUUAUAUUCAAAUAGUUAUAGUUUCGCUUUAAAUGUAUGUUUUAGACAUCUAAACUUAUUUUUGAUUAUGAAUAAUGUGUUUUCCACUUGCAUACUACAUUUUUAGAUGGUUUCGAAAUUUUUAGAAAAGAUGACCAAAAUGCCUUUAUGAGAGAAAAAUUAUUUUUCUAUUGUUUUGAUUUGGAAAUAGUUUAUAAUCUCUCAAAAUAUGUUAUUUAACAAUUAUUGCUCACAGGGGAGGUGAGAAAACUGAUAUUAAAGCCUUGCGGGGUUCUAGUUGACAUUCUGAGUAAUGAGUGUCGAUCUGGACAUCGCGGCGGUUGUCAAGAGCUCUAGGGGAGUACUAGGUCGUGACAUAUUUAAUCAAAUUUAAAGCUCAAGUGAUAAGACACAAUGUAAGACUUGAUGCUAAUUUAAGCUGGAUACCAAUUGAGCAAGCUUAAAGCUUGAUACAAAUAUUUUGAAAUGAACUUAAAAACUUGAUAUUAAUUGUUGAUUUCAACAUUUAAGCAUAAGUGAGAAGCAUAGAAUCCAUGUAAAGCAUAAUAUCAAUUAUGGUGUAAAAGGAUAUUACAAAUUGUGAAAAACACCGAAUGUUGGAUUCUCACCACAACUUGUUGAAGACAUCAAGUGCCAAUAACACCAAUUUUGAUUGAAUGAAACAUUAGACAAUGCAUAUGUAAAUAUCAAUGAUAAACUCGCCUUUAAGAAAUCAUAAGAUCAACACCAAUUGUUAAUGAAGGAAGCAUGAUACAAAAAGGAGAAUAGAUAAAUUAGAUAAUCACUUUAAAGCAU
rnacentral:lncRNA from 1 species